GGACUACCGGGGUAUCUAAUCCUGUUCGUGCCCUGUGCCUUCGUCCUUCAGCGUCAGUUUUUACAUAAAAAAUUGCCUUCGCCUUUACCAGUCCCGCAAGUAUCAACGAAUUUCAUCUCUCCUCCAUUAGUACGAUCUUCUUAUAUAAAACUCUAGUUUUAAUUGUACUUAAAUUAGGCAAAUUAAAACCGCCUAAGUACCCUUUAAACCUAUUAAAUAUGAAUAACACUAGUCUCUUACGUAUUACCGCGGCUGCUGGCAC
rnacentral:rRNA from 1 species